rnacentral:rRNA from 1 species
AGGCCCUACGGGGUGCAGCAGGCGCGAAAACUUUACAAUGCGGGAAACCGUGAUAAGGGGAUCUCGAGUGCCAGCAUAUAAUGUUGGCUGUCCAGAUGCCUAAAAAGCAUCUGUUAGCAAGGGCCGGGCUAGACCGGUGCCAGCCGCCGCGGUAACACCGGCGGCCCGAGUGGUAACCGCUAUUAUUGGGUCUAAAGGGUCUGUAGCCGGCCAGGUAAGUCCCUUGGGAAAUCUGGCAGCUCAACUGUCAGGCUGCUAGGGGAUACUGUUUGGCUUGGGACCGGGAGAGGUGAGAGGUACCUUGGGGGUAGGGGUGAAAUCUUGUGAUCCUCGAGGGACCACCAGUGGCGAAGGCGUCUCACCAGAACGGGUCCGACGGUAAGGGACGAAAGCUAGGGGCACGAACCGGAUUAGAUACCCGGGUAGUCCUAGCCGUAAACGAUGCUCGCUAGGUGUCAGUCACGGUGCGACCGUGAUUGGUGCCGUAGGGAAGCCGUGAAGCGAGCCACCUGGGAAGUAUGGCCGCAAGGCUGAAACUUAAAGGAAUUGGCGGGGGAGCACUACAACGGGUGGAGCCUGCGGUUUAAUUGGAUUCAACGC